GGCGCACGGGUGCGUAACGCGUAUGCAACCUACCUUUAACAGGGGGAUAACACUGAGAAAUUGGUACUAAUACCCCAUAAUAUCAUAGAAGGCAUCUUUUAUGGUUGAAAAUUCCGAUGGUUAGAGAUGGGCAUGCGUUGUAUUAGCUAGUUGGUGGGGUAACGGCUCACCAAGGCGACGAUACAUAGGGGGACUGAGAGGUUAACCCCCCACACUGGUACUGAGACACGGACCAGACUCCUACGGGAGGCAGCAGUGAGGAAUAUUGGUCAAUGGACGCAAGUCUGAACCAGCCAUGCCGCGUGCAGGAUGACGGCUCUAUGAGUUGUAAACUGCUUUUGUACGAGGGUAAACGCAGAUACGUGUAUCUGUCUGAAAGUAUCGUACGAAUAAGGAUCGGCUAACUCCGUGCCAGCAGCCGCGGUAAUACGGAGGAUUCAAGCGUUAUCCGGAUUUAUUGGGUUUAAAGGGUGCGUAGGCGGUUUGAUAAGUUAGAGGUGAAAUUUCGGGGCUCAACCCUGAACGUGCCUCUAAUACUGUUGAG
rnacentral:rRNA from 1 species